AGCUGCGCAGUGAGCACAUAGCGAACUAUUCUUUCGCCUUUUACUAAAGAAUACCGUGCGCUCGCUGCAAUUCAAGCAGCAUACGCCUCUUUUUGGAGGGAUUUUUUCUUUUUGGAAAAA
rfam:Erythranthe guttata cultivar DTN x IM62 scaffold_8_contig_122, whole genome shotgun sequence.